UACGUAGGGGGCAAGCGUUGUCCGGAAUCAUUGGGCGUAAAGGGCGCGUAGGUGGCCCGGUCAGUCUUUGGUGAAAGCGCGGGGCUCAACCCUGCGUCGGCCAGGGAUACUGCCGCGGCUCGAGCACUGUAGAGGCAGGCGGAAUUCCGGGGUGUAGCGGUGGAAUGCGUAGAGAUCCGGAAGAACACCGGUGGCGAAGGCGGCCUGCUGGGCAGUGACGUGACGCUGAGGCGCGAAAGCGUGGGGAGCAAACAGG
rnacentral:rRNA from 1 species